rnacentral:misc_RNA from 1 species
GUGAACUUUAGCAAUUUCAGCACCAUUAGAAUCAUGGAUAACACAUUAUUCAUCUUUAAAUAUGACAGAAAAAUUUUUCCUCAGCAGUUCGCAACACUCAACAAAUUUUGAUUCAAGCUAGGAAUAAACAACACAUCAGAAAUAAGCUUUGCACCUGACAUGGAGUGUAUUGCCACUGUCCCCUUGCCUUCAGCUUGCACAAGUUGGCCAUUUGCUAACUUUACUCUUGUUUUGACAGAUGAAUCCAAAAAAGAGAACAUAUCAACAUCUUUAGCCAUGUGUACAGUGCACCCACUGUCAACAAACCAUGUAUGAGAGCCAUCUGAAAAUGAGGAAGAGUGAUGCGAGGCCAUAAACAAAUGCUCUUCAGCUUGUUGUUGCUGAUUUUCAACAGAGUCAACAUGUUGCGCAGAUUGUUGCUGCUCCUGUUGCUCUUUGCCCUGCUUUACUUUGCAGAAUUUUUCAGUAUGGCCAUGCUUUUUACAAUACCAGCAUUGUAACACUGAUUUACCCUUAUGCCAACAAUCUUUCUCCAAGUGAUUUGUCCUUUUACAGAUGUUACAUGGAGGAAACUUACCUUUUCUCACACUAUCCUUUGAAUUUUCAGCUUGUUUGCUCUUCCCCUACUUGUCUGGAGAAAAUUUCUUUCAAUCUUUGCUUGGAACUGGUUUGAAUUUUUGUUUCACUUGAAAUGCAGAUUCACUAGCAUCUUGAUUUCUCAUGGAUGAUCUCUGCUCUUGAGCUUGAAGCUUGCUAAUAAGCUCAGUAAUUGUGAGGGUCUUGAGAUCACAUGAUUCCUCAAUUGUAGAAAUUUUUUACUCAAAUUUCUCCGGAAGGCUAAUCAACAUUUACUCAACAACUUGGCUAUCAGGAAAUUUAGCACCAUAAAGUCUCAUUUGAUUCACUAGCUCCAUCAACUUUGAGGAGUAAUGCUUUACAGUUUCUCCUUCCUUCAUUCUCAACAUCUCAAAUUUCCUUUUAAGAGUUAGAAGCUUGACUGAUCUAACUCUUUCACUUCCUUGAAGCUCAUCCCUUAGCUUGUCCCAUGCCUCCUUAGCUGUUUGAGCACUCAAGAUUCUUGGAAAAAUAGCAUCUAAAAUAGAUUGAUGGAUGAAUAUCAAUGCUUUGAAUUUCUUGGCACAUUCAUCACUAU